GUGAAUCAUCAAAUUUUUGAACGCAAAUUGCACUCUCCUCGGAGAGUAUGCCUGUUUGAGGGUCAGCCUAUAAAAAAUCGACAUCGUUGCUGUUUCGCGGUGGCGUUCGUCGGAAAUUGGGUCAUCUUAAAUCUUUUGGUUUUAAGCGACUUAAAUUUUUCUUUUUGGUUCCUUGAAGUUUUUAAAGUUUUAUUUUUUUACACGUUUAGGUAUUCG
rnacentral:misc_RNA from 1 species